rnacentral:rRNA from 1 species
AACGAACGCUGGCGGCAUGCCUAACACAUGCAAGUCGAACGAUGCCUUCGGGCAUAGUGGCGCACGGGUGCGUAACGCGUGGGAAUCGGCCUUUCGGUUCGGAAUAACUCAGGGAAACUUGAGCUAAUACCGGAAAACUUCGCAAGACAAAAGAUUUAUCACGGAAAGAUGAGCCCGCGUAGGAUUAGCUAGUUGGGGAGGUAAAGGCUCACCAAGGCGACGAUCCUUAGCUGGUCUGAGAGGAUGAGCCGCCACACUGGGACUGGGACACGGCCCAGACUCCUACGGGAGGCAGCAGUGGGGAAUAUUGGACAAUGGGCGAAAGCCUGAUCCAGCAAUGCCGCGUGAGUGAUGAAGGCCUUAGGGUUGUAAAGCUCUUUUACCCGGGAAGAUAAUGACGGUACCGGGAGAAUAAGCCCCGGCUAACUCCGUG